rnacentral:rRNA from 1 species
CAAGUCGAACGAAGUAGCAAUACUUAGUGGCAGACGGGUGAGUAACAUGUGGGUAUCUUCCCUUUGGUGAGGAAUAACACGAGGAAACUUGUGCUAAUACCUCAUAAGUCUUUACGGAGAAAGCUUUAUGCGCCAAUGGAUGAGCCCGCACUUGAUUAGUUAGUUGGUAGGGUAAUGGCCUACCAAGACUUUGAUCAAUAGCUGAUUUGAGAGGAUGAUCAGCCACAUUGGGACUGAGACACGGCCCAAACUUCUACGGGAGGCAGCAGUAGGGAAUCUUGCACAAUGGAGGAAACUCUGAUGCAGCGAUGCCGCGUGAGUGAAGAAGGCCUUUGGGUUGUAAAGCUCUUUCGUCGGGGAAGAAAAUGACUGUACCCGAAUAAGAAGGUCCGGCUAACUUCGUGCCAGCAGCCGCGGUAAUACGAAGGGACCUAGCGUAGUUCGGAAUUACUGGGCUUAAAGAGUUCGUAGGUGGUUAAAAAAGUUGGUGGUGAAAUCCCAGAGCUUAACUCUGGAACUGCCAUCAAAACUUUUUAGCUAGAGUAUGAUAGAGGAAAGCAGAAUUUCUAGUGUAGAGGUGAAAUUCGUAGGUAUUAGAAAGAAUACCAAUUGCGAAGGCAGUUUUCUGGAUCAUUACUGACACUGAGGAACGAAAGCAUGGGUAGCGAAGAGGAUUAGAUACCCUCGUAGUCCAUGCCGUAAACGAUGUGUGUUAGACGUUGGAAAUUUAUUUUCAGUGUCGCAGCGAAAGCGAUAAACACACCGCCUGGGGAGUACGACCGCAAGGUUAAAACUCAAAUGAAUUGACGGGGACCCGCACAAGUAGUGGAGCAUGUGGUUUAAUUCGAAGAUACGCGCAGAACCUUACCAACACUUGACAUGUUCGUCGCGACUCUAAGAGAUUAGAGUUUUCGGUUCGGCCGGACGAAACAC